rnacentral:rRNA from 1 species
AGAGUUUGAUCCUGGCUCAGAUGAACGCUGCGGCAGCUACACAUGCAAGUCGAACGGUACAUUUCUAGCUGCUAGAAGAUGACGAGUGCGACGGGUGAGUAAUGCUUGGGAACUUGCCUUCAGGAGGGGAUACAGUUGGAAACGACUGCUAAUACCGCAUAAUGUCUUUGGACCAAAGCGGGCUUUUAGCUCGCACUGAAGAGAGGCCCAAGUGAGAUUAGCUAGUUGGUAAGGUAAAGGCUUACCAAGGCGACGAUCUCUAGCUGUUCUGAGAGGAAGAUCAGCCACACUGGGACUGAGACACGGCCCAGACUCCUACGGGAGGCAGCAGUGGGGAAUAUUGCACAAUGGGGGGAACCCUGAUGCAGCCAUGCCGCGUGUGUGAAGAAGGCCUUCGGGUUGUAAAGCACUUUCAGUUGUGAGGAAAGGUUGGUAGUUAAUACCUGCCAGCUGUGACGUUAACAACAGAAGAAGCACCGGCUAACUCCGUGCCAGCAGCCGCGGUAAUACGGAGGGUGCGAGCGUUAAUCGGAAUUACUGGGCGUAAAGCGCACGCAGGCGGUUUGUUAAGCUAGAUGUGAAAGCCCCGGGCUCAACCUGGGAUGGUCAUUUAGAACUGGCAGACUAGAGUCUUGGAGAGGGGAGUGGAAUUCCAGGUGUAGCGGUGAAAUGCGUAGAUAUCUGGAGGAACAUCAGUGGCGAAGGCGGCUCCCUGGCCAAAGACUGACGCUCAUGUGCGAAAGUGUGGGUAGCGAACAGGAUUAGAUACCCUGGUAGUCCACACCGUAAACGCUGUCUACUAGCUGUUUGUGAAUUUAAUUCGUGAGUAGCGAAGCUAACGCGCUAAGUAGACCGCCUGGGGAGUACGGCCGCAAGGUUAAAACUCAAAGGAAUUGACGG